GUGCCUACACAAAAAUAAAAAUAAGUUUUAAAAUAUAUACUGAAACAUUCACAUACCAUAAACCUUCUAAAUAGUCUUCUCUCGGGAAGCAAACUGAAAUACAAUUAUUGGGUCUAAGCUGUGGGCUAGCGUCAGUAUAAAAAUUCAUAGCAAUUAUUAAUACCUUAAAAAGAAACCCAAAUACUACAAUGAUUUAAAAAAUGUUGGUUUACACUAUAAUGUCAUAAAUUACAAAAGGGAAUUAAAACUCUUAAGUUGUUUUUGUAAUUUAAUUACCCAGGAAAGCUCAGCUCAGAUGCAGCAUUGGUUAUCAGCGCGGUCCUGCUUUUUAACAAAUUUUCCAGAUGGUUGACUGAGGCACAAGUGACUUGCCCAAGGUUACAGUAAGUCUGUGGUUAGCCCCGUAUUGGAACCCAGGAUCCUCCUGGCUCCCAGUCCUUUGCUCUAACCAGUAAGCCACACAGCCUCCCUAUCCCUGUAUAUGCCAGGAUAGAAAAUAUAAGAAAGUAUGUUUUUGUAUUGGAAUUAAAAUACAUUUUUAGUUUUCCUUAUAGUUUUUGAGAAAGGAUGCUUCCUGCUGAGGCCAAAGCAUUCCAUCAUUUCAACUUUACCGAAACACCCAUUUUUUAAAAAUUUUGUGUGUGUGUCAGGAAGAAUGAGAGACAGAUUACAAGAGAGAAAAGGAAAGAGGGAGAAGGGGGAGGGGCUUCAAAAGAAUGGUGACAGUUGCCAGGCAGUGGUGGUGCAUUCUUUUAAUCCCAGCACUCAGAAGGCAGAGACAGGCAGGUCUACGGAAUGAGUUCCAGAACAGCUAGAGCUACACAGAGAAACCUUGGCUUGAAAAAUGAAACCAAACCAAAACAACAUCAAAAAACAGGAAUGCCCAGAUGAAUGAGAUGAGGUCCAGUGUCCAACAUCAUGACAGUCUCCUGUUAUGUGCUGCUGACUUGAAAAAGUUGAAACUCAAUAUCCAAAGUAAGAUCUUCUGCUAGACAAAUAUUUCCAAUUUUAUUAUGAAAACUGAAAAUUUUUGAAGAAAAAAAUUGAUAACCAGGAAACAACUCACGGGUCAAAUACUUCCCAGUCUUCCUCAUAGGUGGCCUCUGCAUGAGCUGAUGAGUAACCACUCUCGGGAGCUACUGGUGCUAUUUAAUAAGAGGCAAAAAAAGGUUACUUUCAGUCAUCUGUCACAAAAUACACAUUUUUAUUGUUUCUACAAGGAGCUUUCUGUAUUUUAGAUUAAUGACCUAUCUUUACAGCAAAUUUAGUAAAACAAAUGACUACAUCCAAAGAAAAUUACUGCUAUGGGUAACAUGCCUAACUACAACAUGGCUAGUAAAUUAGGAUGUCGAUCUAUGAACUAAGAAGAACUAAGAAGAAAUCUACUAUUAAUAGAAGAUAAUAUUCAGCAAUAAAAACAACAACAAAAAAAAUAGUGUGCUAGUUAGGUUUUUAUUAAGAGCUAGUGUUCUUUUAGAAGGGGAACCUCAGUUAAGAAAAUGACUCUAUCAGACUGGCCCACAGGCAAGUCUGUGGGAAUUUUCUUGAUUAACUGUUGGUGUACAAGUAUGUACUAUGUACUAUGGGUGGUGCCGCUCUUGAGAAAGUGGUCCUGGUUAAUACAAGCAAAACAAACCAAAAAACCAAGGAGAAAUAAUAACAAAGUUCCUGUGCAGCCUCUGCUUCAGUUUCUGCUGUGAGUUGGCUUUUGUUUUAUUUUUAAGGUUUUUUUUUUUUUUUUUUUUUUUUUUUGGAGACAGGGUCUCUCUAUAGUCCUGGCUAUCCUUGAAUUAAAGCCUGUGCCACUACACCUGCCUGGCCCCUAAGUUGCUUUUUAUACAGCAAUAAAAAACAAGCCAGAGCAAUCAGUUUCUAAAUGGACAGUAUUUACAUGUGCUAGUAGUAAGACAGAGAGCUGUUACUUAUAUGUAGUCAGUAAUACAGUUGUAAAAUCUAGACCCCAUAAGCACUCCUUAAUCAGUCCACUAAUCCUGAACAGAGAUGCAACUUGAGCAUUAUGUUAAGUAAAACGAGCCAGAUAAAAAGAGCACAUAAGCUCAGCAUAUGGCUGCCACGAGAGGCUGAUCACCAGGCACAGUUUCAAGCAAGAAGCUCUCAUGUGCUAUUGGACCAGGACUGCAGAUACAAAAACGUACUAUAUCAAAAAGCUAGAAAAAAAAAAUACGGCAGGUUUAGCCUAAUUUAAAUAUUAUAAAAUGUACAUGUGAAUAAAACAUCACAUAGCACACACCUCGUCUCCCCAUUUGUGUCUGUAUGUAGAUAGAAUGUUACUGUCUUGUUUUUGUUAUUUUGAAACAAUGUCUCACUAGGUAGACCAGAUCAGCUCUGAACUCACUAUAUAGUCUAGGAUGGCCUCAAAUUGCUAAUUCUCUUGCUUCAGCUUCCCAAGUGCUGCAGUUAUAGGAAUGCGCCACCAUCCCUGCCUUUUCUUUCUUGCUUAGAUUUAUUUUACUUUAUAUGUAUGGCUGUUUUGUCUGCAUGUAUGUAUGUGCACCACGUAAUGACCGGAUCAGACACUGUUUGAUCCCCUAGAACUGGAGCUACAAAUGUUUGUAAACCUGAACCCAGGGUCCUCUAUAAGAGAAGGAAGUGUCUCUAACCAACAAAUGACUCAGUCAUCUCUUCAGCCCUAAUAGCUCUUAUUGUAUAAGACAACAAUCUUCACUAUUAAAUCAAGCUGGCCUCAAACUUUUGAUCUUUCACAUGUUGGCAACAUACGUAAUUUUUCUGAUAUCACGUAAAUCUAAAAGAAGGAAGGUAAGGGGUUGGGGAUUUAGCUCAGUGGUAGGGCGCUUGCCUAGCAAGCACAAGGCCCUGGGUUCCGUCGUCCCCAGCUCCGAAAAAAAGAAAAAAAAAAAAAAAAAAAAAAAAAAAAAAAAAAAAAAAAAAAAAAAAAAAAAAAAAGAA